GACGAACGCUGGCGGCGUGCCUAAUACAUGCAAGUUGAGCGAUGAAGAUUGGUGCUUGCACCAAUUUGAAGAGCAGCGAACGGGUGAGUAACGCGUGGGGAAUCUGCCUUUGAGCGGGGGACAACAUUUGGAAACGAAUGCUAAUACCGCAUAACAACUUUAAACAUAAGUUUUAAGUUUGAAAGAUGCAAUUGCAUCACUCAAAGAUGAUCCCGCGUUGUAUUAGCUAGUUGGUGAGGUAAAGGCUCACCAAGGCGAUGAUACAUAGCCGACCUGAGAGGGUGGUCGGCCACAUUGGGACUGAGACACGGCCCAAACUCCUACGGGAGGCAGCAGGAGGGAAUCUUCGGCAAUGGACGAAAGUCUUACCGGGCAACGCCGGGUGAGUGAAGGAGGUUUUCGGGUCGGAAAACUCUGUUGGUAGAGAAGAACGUUGGUGAGAGUGGAAAGCUCAUCAAGUGACGGUAACUACCCAGAAAGGGACGGCUAACUACGUG
rnacentral:rRNA from 1 species